CUGAUAUCUAGGCUUGAGUAAUUUACCACAGUUCUAUGGUAAAUUAAACAUCUCAGUUUGUAUUUUAGUAAAGGGGAUAUUUUGAACAAAGCUGGGAGGGGCCCAUCCAGUAACUAAAAAAGGAUAAAAGUGUACUCCAGCAUCCUAUACCAUUAAUCAUUUCUCCCAGUUGUAUUUUAGACUGUCACUGAAUGCACGCAGUGUUCAGUAGUUUUAGUGCUAUUUCAAUGUUUAUGGUACAAUGUCAUUGCUGAGAAUGAUCUGAUCCAAUAGACUCAGUUACUGUUAUUAAGAAUUCUCCUCACAAUUUAACUGUUAAUAAAAUUCAAUGCUAAAAUACACUCCUACCAAAAAGGAAG